UACGUAGGGUGCGAGCGUUGUCCGGAAUUACUGGGCGUAAAGAGCUCGUAGGUGGUUUGUCGCGUUGUCCGUGAAAACUCACAACUCAAUUGUGGGCGUGCGGGCGAUACGGGCAGACUGGAGUACUGCAGGGGAGACUGGAAUUCCUGGUGUAGCGGUGGAAUGCGCAGAUAUCGGGAGGAACACCAGUGGCGAAGGCGGCCUUCUGGGCGGCAACUGACGCUGAGGCGCGGAAAGCGUGGGGAGCGAACCGG
rnacentral:rRNA from 1 species